rnacentral:rRNA from 1 species
GGGCCAGACUCCUACGGGAGGCAGCAGUGGGGGAUAUUGCACAAUGGGGGGAACCCUGAUGCAGCGACGCCGCGUGGGUGAAGGAGCGUUUCGGCGCGUAAAGCCCUAUCGGCAGGGAAGAAGGGGGACGGUACCUGACUAAGAAGCCCCGGCUAACUACGUGCCAGCAGCCGCGGUAAUACGUAGGGGGCAAGCGUUAUCCGGAUUUACUGGGUGUAAAGGGGGCGCAGACGGCAGCGCAAGCCAGGAGUGAAAGCCCGCGGCCCAACCGCGGGACUGCAUUGGGAACUACCGGGCUGGAGUGCCGGAGAGGUAGGCGGAAUUCCUAGUGUAGCGGUGAAAUGCGUAGAUAUUAGGACGAACACCAGUGGCGAAGGCGGCUUACUGGACGGCAACUGACGCUGAGGCUCGAAAGCGUGGGGAGCAAACAGGAUUAGAUACCCCGGUA